rnacentral:lncRNA from 1 species
AAUGCACUGAUAAUGAUUAAGGUUCUCAUAACCCGAUUAUUUCACCUCUAAGCUUUCUUACAUUGUCUCACACAUGAGCUUUUUUCAUAUCUAGACCACAAAUUUGACCACUCUCACAUUCAACCUUACAAUGACCUGGAACUUCACCUUGAACCUCAUUUUUUUUUGGUGGGGGGGGGGUAUUGGGAAUUGAACUCAGUGAUCACUGAGCCUCAUCCCCAGCCCUAUUUUGAAUUUUAUUUAGAGACAAGGUCUCACUGACUGCUUAGUGCCUGGCCUUUGCUGAAGCUGGCUUUGAUCCUCCGGCUACUCCAUUCUUUUUGGGUAUUUGAUCACCAAUCUGACCAUCUGGAUCUAGGAUUGGAACCUGACCCUAUUACUGCACUUCAGUUUUACAUUGGUGCUAAUCCAGAUACUGACCCACCCUGGCCACUGACUUUCAACCAAACACAUCCAUACAACCCCCUAAACUUGACACCAUCCUAACUUUUGAUUGACCUUGAAUCUGACCUUCACCCUGAUUUUCUGAUUGAGGCUGAACCUAACAUUUAACCUGAAUCUGAGACAACCUUCUGUUUAUACUUAACUUAAACAUGACCAACCCUAACCUUGAUUGAAUGGACUUCAGGCUUCUCUGACCUUCACCUAUACUUUCACCCUCACACAAUGCUUUGCUGGACUCUGAC